rnacentral:rRNA from 1 species
GGAGUGGACGCAUCACUGGUGUUCGGGUUGUCAUGCCAAUGGCACUGCCCGGUAGCUAAAUGCGGAAGAGAUAAGUGCUGAAAGCAUCUAAGCACGAAACUUGCCCCGAGAUGAGUUCUCCCUGAGACUUUAAGUCUCCUGAAGGAACGUUGAAGACGACGACGUUGAUAGGUCGGGUGUGUAAGCGCAGCGAUGCGUUGAGCUAACCGAUACUAAUGAACCGUGAGGCUUAACCUU